rnacentral:rRNA from 1 species
AUGGCUCGCCCCUACCACCUGACCCUCCUCUCCGUCUUUUCCUUCCUGCUCCUCACUGGCCUUGUGACUGCUGAUCUGUCCGGAGAGAAUAAAGUCGGGAAGAUUGUGACCAUGACCGUCCAGUACCCGGCCGCGGGCUCACCGCCGGGGGAGAAGACCACGAUCUCAGCGCACUACGUUGACGAGAACGGAGGCGGCGACCGCCGCUUCAACCUCGACUGUGACGAUGACGAGCCUAAAUUUCUAGCUAAGAUUACAAUCGAUCUGCAGCCUCGGUUUCGCCAUGAAGUACCUUAUCACGACCCUGGAGGGGAUACGAGAUACGCGGGAGUCUCGAUCCGAGGUAACUAA